rnacentral:lncRNA from 1 species
UCCAUUUACUGAACACUUUAUCAUACAUUUGAAUUAAUCCUGAAGAACUCAAAAGGAUUUAUAUAAUUCCUAUUUAUAAGGCUAAGAGUACAGAUUUUUAGAGUGACUAAAUGACUUUUGUAAUCUGUCCCAGGUUAAAAGGCACAAAAGCAGAACUUUUCUGUUGUAAAGGUGAAAUAUGUAAAUCAAAAUGUUUUGACAGAUUAGAAGAUACUUUCAAGAUCCUAAUUUCUUCAGCUACAUGUACAUUUUACAUUAACAGGUCUGAAGCCUCAGAAAGGUUUCUGGGCCCACUGGAAACUGAAAGACCUCUCUUCAACCACCAUACGUGGCAGCAAGAAGGUGCGUGCAAAAUCAGUACAGGAGAUGAUCACAAACAGUCCAGAGCGCCUAUCAGCUAAAAUGAAAGUGGAAGGAAGAGGAAGAAGUAAGAACAUCAAAAUUUACACAGGAAGAUGCUUAAAAUGUUAAAAAAAAAUGACUCAGAGCACCUCAAGUUCUUGUCAGAAACGACCUUUUCCCCCUAUUUCUCUGUGACAAAUGUGUUUCCAGCACCUCUGUCCCAUGCCCGCUGCCAUCAGUGUUGUCCAGGUCUUCGUUAUCUUGUACUUGAGUACCGUUUCUGAACUAGAACCCUGUCUCCAGCCCCUUGGACGUCACAUUUACCCUUUAUGUCUUCACGAAGGACGUGCCAGACAGAGCACCCUUCUUAGGUUCUGGACGUUUUCUAGGCUCACUCCGCUAAAAACGCAGAGCAAAGCAAAACAUUUUUACUUAGGGUUCUCCAGAAUCUGACUGCAGUCUACUUUUUAAGUUUCCUUUGGGUUCAGACAGAACGAUUUCCUCAUCAUCUUCCUCUCCCACGAACAAUGCCAGCCGCUCUGCCUGCUCUGCCCACCAGUCCCCAUGACAUGGAGCUCUCUGCUCUCAGCCUCCCAGAUUUGCCUCACGGUUGCACUGCCUUCCACUUCUGCAAAUCCCCAGUGCUUGGUACAGGGAUUUGUACUUGGCGGGCUCCCCUUGAGUGCUGAAAUAGAACGAUAUGGAAACCCUAUACUAACUGGUGUCUGAUUAGAAAUCAGCAAAUUAAAGUAAUUAAUCUUUCCAGGAUUAAAGAAUGAAUGAGUGUCCUGAUCAUAUUAAAUGUCAAAAGAGUUAACAUUGAAAAAUUGAUUAACCAGAAGUAUUUGUUAAAUUCCUCCUACUUUUCAUUACACUUUUGGAGUUUAUCUAAUUAGAUAAGAAUAAAAUUCUCUAGUUAAUUCAAACAAUGGUUCAUAUCAGAUUAUAUUUCGUGGUAUCAACUCCAAAAAGUUGAGCAAACUCCAAACAUCUCUAGUUUACCCAUCAAUUACAGCUUUUUCCUUUGAUUUUGGCUAAACCUCUCUUAGACCUAUUUAUAUUUUUAGUAUACAACUCUUACAUGAGUAACAAACCUAUACGUUUUCUGAGUGUUAUUAUAUAAUCUAUCUUGCGUGUAGCACAUAAAGACAUUAAGUACACAUUAGUUCUAAUCCAUGAGUGAACUGAUUGUUGUUUGCAUCCAUAUUGUUAUAACUUUACAAACAAUGAACAUAGCCCAUAUUAAUGUUCACCUUAAUAAAUAUUUCUUACUCUCAAUGAUAGCCCAGAUGCUUUUUGGCCGGUGUCAUACAGUAUAUGUCUUACAUCAUUCAUUCAUUUAUUCUAAUUCCAGCUUGCUUUCAUUGUCGUAUGUAAUCUUUAUUAAUGCUAAACAAGGAG